CUCCCUUUCUGACGAACCAUGAUGUUCAUUUAUUUGGUGUUGUGGGGAAUCAGGACUGUUACUUUGAAAAAAUUAGAGCGUUUAAAGCAGGCUCACGCUUGAAUACAUUAGCAUGGAAUAAUGAAAUAGGACGUUUGAUUCUAUUUUGUUGGUUUCUAGGAUCGACGUAAUGAUUAAUAGGGAUAGUUGGGGGCAUUAGUAUUCAAUUGUCAGAGGUGAAAUUCUUGGAUUUAUUGAAGACUAACUACUGCGAAAGCAUUUGCCAAGGAUGUUUUCAUUAAUCAAGAACGAAAGUUAGGGGAUCGAAGACGAUCAGAUACCGUCGUAGUCUUAACCAUAAACUAUGCCGACUAGGGAUCGGAUGAUGUUAAUUUUUUAAUGACUCAUUCGGCGCCUUACG
rnacentral:rRNA from 1 species